AGUGAACGCUGGCGGUAGGCUUAACACAUGCAAGUCGAACGGUAACACAGUAAGGGGUGGCUCCUAGGGGUGGAGGGGGGCGGAAGGGAGAGGAAUAUAUCGGGAGCUAGUGUAUAAUGGAGCGAAAGGUAGGGAAAUACAGGAUGAGACCGGAGGAGAAAAACGGGGGAAAGAAGAGGAAUGUUGGACCUUGCGCGUUUGGAGGGGCCGAUGUCGGAUUAGCUAGUUGGUGGGGUAAAGGCCUACCAAGGCGACGAUCCGUAGCUGGUCUGAGAGGAUGACCAGCCACACUGGAACUGAGACACGGCCCAGACUCCUACGGGAGGCAGCAGUGGGGAAUUUUGGACAAUGGGCGCAAGCCUGAUCCAGCCAUGCCGCGUGCGUGAAGAAGGCCUUCGGGUUGUAAAGCCCUUUUGUUAGGAAAGAAACGCUGUACGCUAAUACCCCGCUCUUCUGACGGUACCCGCAGAAUAAGCACCGGCUAACUUCGUG
rnacentral:rRNA from 1 species